rfam:Picea glauca, whole genome shotgun sequence.
ACAUGCUUAUAGCUUAGCGUUAAUGCACCAAAUUUCAUUAGUAAUCUGCAGUUAAGCGUGCUCAGGCUGGAAUAGUACUGGGAUGAGUGAUCGCUCGAGAAGUCCUAGUGUUUUACAUUCC